CAACAAAUGUAUACACAUAGCUAUGGUUCCUCGACAAUCAGUUAUCAUUAUCAAUCAUAGCACACGUUUGCAUUUAGAUACAUAGGAAGAAAACGAUACUGCACAACUCCAGGUAGAUGGUGUACGAUUGAGGAAAGUUGCCUCCAAUACAACUUAUACAUUCUAGAUAGAACUCAGGUAAGUAUUUAUAACCUUUUUUUAUACGAAUUUGUACUCUGUGUCAAUUUCAAAAAUUACUUGAACAUUUGAAAAUAUAAAUAUAAAAGCGGCCAAGUGCGAGUCGGACUCGCCCAUGAAGGGUUCCGUACCAUUUAUGACGUAUUAAAAAAACUACUAACUAGAUCUCUUUCAAACCAAUUUUCGGUGGAAGUUUGCAUGGUAAUGUAUAUCAUAUAUAUUUUUUUAGAUUUUUCAUUCUGUUAUUUUAGAAGUUACAGGGGGGGGACACACAUUUUUUCACUUUGGAAGUGUCUGUCGCGCAAACUAUUCAGCUUAGAAAAAAAUGAUAUUGGAAACCUAAAUAUCAUUUUUGAAGACCUAUCCAUAGAUUCCCCACACGAAUGGAUUUAAUGAUUUUUUUUUUUAUUGACGUAAUAAAAACAACUACCUACUAGAUCUCGUUCAAACCAAUUUUCGUUGGAAGUUUGCAUGAUAAUGUAUAUCAUAUAUAAUUUUUAGAUUUUUCAUUCUGUUAUUUUAGAAAUUACAGGGGGGGGACACACAUUUUUUCACUUUGGAAGUGUCUCUCGCGCAAACUAUUCAGUUUAGAAAAAAAUGAUAUUAGAAACCUAAAUAUCAUUUUUGAAGACCUAUUCAUAGAUUCCCCACACGUAUGGGUUUGAUGAUUUUUUUUUUUUUAAUUUUAUGACCAAUUUUCAGUGGAAGUUUGCAUGGUAAUGUAUAUAAUAUAUUUUUUUUAGAUUUUUCAUUCUGUUAUUUUAGAAGUUACAGGGGGGGGGGACACACAUUUUACCACUUUGGAAGUGUCUCUCGCGCAAACUAUUCAGUUUAGAAAAAAAUGAUAUUAGAAACCUAAAUAUCAUUUUUAGGGUUCCGUAGCCAAAUGGCAAAAAACGGAACCCUUAUAGAUUCGUCAUGUCCGUCUGUCUGUCCGAUUCUGUCACAGCCACUUUUUUCCGAAACUAUAAGAGCUGUACUGUUCAAACUUAGUAAGUGGAUGUAUUCUAUGAACCGCAUUAAGAUUUUCACACAAAAAUAGAAAAAAAACAAUAAAUUUU